GGCCAUAGCUCAGGGGUGUGGCAUAUGCUUUGCAUGCAGAAGGUUCCAGGUUCAAUCCCUAGCAUCGCCA